UUUAACGUCAAAGGUAAAAUCAACCACUUUGUCCAUAACUCAGAUCCAUCGGAGAAGAUUAUGAGAGAUGAAAAACUCAAACGCUAGAUAAUGAAAUAUGCAUUACCAGCAUUUAAUUCUCAGGUGAGUCUAGCUGAAGAGAUUGAUGUUAAUGACGUCCUCUGAAAAUUAAUUGUUUGAGGAUGGAUGAAUGAGUAUUUUCAAAAUUUCUUCCUCCUUUUCAUGUUGCUGUUUAUGGUUUUGCCAAGUUCACAUUAAGUUUUGUUACAGGCUUGAAGGUGCAACUUAUCAAUCAAAGCCUCAACAAAAAAGGGGCUAAACUUAAAAUGAAUGCGUUAUUGUCGUUUUCCCUACAUAGGGCGCACAUUUUCAUUUAAACUAGUAUCCAACAUUUUGGCAACUGUUCCGUUUCUAAACUGUAAGUAACACUAUGUAUGUCACUCUUGGUUUUUUGUUUGCUUUUGAAGUUUUUUCUUUUUAUUUAUUUUUUUAUUAAAGUGCAGUUUAUUUACAGUGUUAAUUUCUGCAGUGCAGCAAAGUGACUCUCUUAUACAUACAUACCUUCUUUUUUAUGUUUCUUUCCAUUAUGGUUUAUCCCGGAGAUUGGAUAUUUUUCCCUGUGCUAUAGAGUAUCCUAUAUAGUAGGACAGACCCUAUUUAGUAAGAUAGAUCCUAUAGGGUAGGAUCUCUGUCGAUUCUAAAGGUAAUAAUUUGCAUCUGUUGACCCUGAACUUGGUUUGGAAGUCAGCGCUCUAGUUGAAUGUCAUUAAAGGGGACACCGGAGGCGUGGUGCUGCUUUUAACGAGGAAAACCGUGAACUUUGAAAAUGGCUUCUCAAUCCCACAUUCACUUUUACUUGGUGUAUUAAAACUAUUCUGUGUCAGUUUUUCUCUUAAUAUUUAAUAAAUACUAUAGUUAUGGAUAAUAGUACUUCGUAUAUAAUAGGAGAUCUCUGUAUAUUUUAUUUAUGAAUAUAUCAUGAUCAAUAAAUGCAUGUUUACUGGGUUGGGUUGGUACCAAAGGUAGGCAUACAUAUUUAUAUUUAGUAUAUAUUACUAUUAUAUGUAUGUAUAAUAAUCAAUAAGAAAAAUAGUUACAAUAAUUUGUUAUUAAAAUUUUAUCCAUGAUUUGACUUUCAAAGUAGACGCUGAAAAAAAUUACUGUUUAAUAUGAUGUCUAAUAGACAGUGAAGGUGGUUUGCUAAUUAAAGAGAUUCUUUUUAACAUUGGUAGUAAAACCAGAAGUACAUCUAUGAAGACUUUUCUAAAUAGUCUAAUUUAUGUGUAAUUAUAUAACAAAGGUGAACUUGCAUUUAUAUGAUACAUAAAGAUCACAUGACAUAAAACUGUUUCUGAAAUUAUAACAUUAUUUUAUGGUGGAGGGGUGACUGAUAAGGAUAAGUGCCAUCUCGUGGGAUUCUUUCUGAAUCUAUACAGAAACUUCAUUUGACCAUGAACAUUAUUGCUCUUGUCUCUCCAAAAAAUAUUCAUCAUCAGUUGAUCCAUAAUUUAUUUAAAAACAUGUGCUUAGUGGCAACUAAGCGACUAACUACACAUCCCAUAGCCAUAUUAUGCCUUAAUAAAUAUUCUGUAUAUUAAUUAACUACAUCAUAUAGUUCAUAAACAUGACGGAGUCCUUACAGUGUUAAAUUUAAACAUGGCACAGCCCACGAGUGUUAUACUGCAGUGAUAUUCUUUCACUUUUCAUUUGAACUAAUUAAAUAAU
rnacentral:lncRNA from 1 species